UACAGAGGUGGCAAGCGUUGUUCGGAAUUACUGGGCGUAAAGGGCGCGUAGGCGGCCUUGUAAGUCUCGUGUGAAAGCCCUCGGCUUAACUGAGGAUCUGCACGGGAUACUGUAAGGCUUGAGUUCGGGAGAGGAAAGCGGAAUUCCGGGUGUAGCGGUGAAAUGCGUAGAUAUCCGGAGGAACACCAGUGGCGAAGGCGGCUUUCUGGACCGACACUGACGCUGAGGCGCGAAAGCUAGGGGAGCAAACGGG
rnacentral:rRNA from 1 species